AUUUCGUAAUCGCUUAAUUCCUGAAUCCAGGAAGCGGGGGAACCAACCGUAACUUUUGUUACAUGGGGUGAAUCUCUGAAAAGAGUAGGGCUACUCUCUGGCCCGAAUCCGUCAGCUAACUUCGUAAGCGUUCGAGAGGAAGCCA
rnacentral:sRNA from 1 species